rnacentral:lncRNA from 1 species
UUCAACCAUGAGUCAUAGAAUAUAAGCUAUCAGCUAAUAAUUAUUUUUAACAAACAAAGCUUAAAUGUAUUUGAUAUAAAAUUUGAGCCAGAUUCAUUAAAAAUUAAAAGUAAUUUAAAUGUUUUAAAUUAUAUUUUAUUUUGAAUGAAGAAAUAUUUAAAAAAUUGACUCAGAUCCAAGACCUAAUUAAGGGGGUGGUUGGU